rnacentral:rRNA from 1 species
AACGAACGCUGGCGGCAGGCUUAACACAUGCAAGUCGAACGCCCCGCAAGGGGAGUGGCAGACGGGUGAGUAACACGUGGGAACCUUCCUCGUUGUACGGAACAACUCAGGGAAACUUGAGCUAAUACCGUAUACGUCCGAGAGGAGAAAGAUUUAUCGCAAUGAGACGGGCCCGCGUCGGAUUAGCUAGUUGGUGGGGUAACGGCCUACCAAGGCAACGAUCCGUAGCUGAUCUGAGAGGAUGAUCAGCCACACUGGGACUGAGACACGGCCCAGACUCCUACGGGAGGCAGCAGUGGGGAAUAUUGGACAAUGGGCGCAAGCCUGAUCCAGCCAUGCCGCGUGAGUGAUGAAGGCCUUAGGGUUGUAAAGUUCUUUUGCCCGUGACGAUGAUGACGGUAACGGGAGAAUAAGCUCCGGCUAACUUCGUGCCAGCAGCCGCUGUAAAAC